GAAGAGAUGAUUUAGACUGGUACCGAUAAAGGGGAGAAGAAAAUUUGGUUUCAUACUGUUGGUGUUGAUCCUAACGUGCGCUGCAUUCGACAUCAAUCUCGAUAAACUAAAGGUAUUUCACAUAAAUAUGCAAGCAUUUUCGUCCCAGUUACUUAGCGCCACACUAAUGGCGGGCGAAUGGAAUUGGAGGGUGAAUCGGAUUGAACUCGAGGACUUCUCGGAGAAAGUAUAGUGAUUUGUUAGAAAUGUAACGUGACGAUCAUGAAAGUUAAUAAAUAUAAUAAAUGAUA